rnacentral:lncRNA from 1 species
CAUAUAACAUCAUAGUAUCACGUAAAACAUAGAAGUUUUUACUUCUUCUUCAGAACACUGGGAAUUGGAGGAACAAAGAGAUUAUUUUAUUUUUGGAACUCAACAAUGUCAAGAAGUUCCUCCAUUUUUCAGCAAUAUCAAAGUCAACACUCUUUCUAAUAGAACUUUUUGAGACCUAAUGGCUCAAAUUUUUGCUUCUGUAAAGAACCAUGUUCCUCACUUACACUACCCUUUCUAUCCUGAGCAGAUACAUCUCCCUCUUCUUCUCAAUCGGUUUACCCUUUUCAUAUACUGCAUUUUUUUUAAAAUAAAAAUAUUUAUCGUACGUAAAUAUUUCAUUUCAUUCUCUCUUCCACAAUCACAUCAGCAGGUCACACUACUUCAUUAUCAAUCAGCCUACUUUUCAUCAAUCCUUUUUACUGGAUUGGAAGUUCGUUUAUACACAGAACUCAAAGAGAAGAAGAUCGUCAUUAAAAUAUACUUCAUGAGAAGGACUUGAGGGAUCAGAUCCCCAUUCAGUCCUCACACUUACCAAUUUCUCCAUCCUUCAAAGCUUCUAUAAACCCAGCAACGGCUUCAGCCUCACCCUCUAGAAUAUUAGAUCUACCAUGUUCCCUUCAGUUAAACUUCCAUCAAAAUCUACCAAAGAAUUCUUGGGGGUUUGAUUUUGAUGGAGUU